rnacentral:sRNA from 2 species
AUAUCUCUCUGUACGGGAAGGAUGAGAAGCUUCGACUAAGGUUCGAUUCGAGCGAAAGCGAGAAAGCGUUGCCGCAGGCAACGACCCGAA